AUUGAACGCUGGCGGCAGGCCUAACACAUGCAAGUCGAACGGUAACAGGAAGAAGCUUGCUUCUUUGCUGACGAGUGGCGGACGGGUGAGUAAUGUCUGGGAAACUGCCUGAUGGAGGGGGAUAACUACUGGAAACGGUAGCUAAUACCGCAUAACGUCGCAAGACCAAAGAGGGGGACCUUCGGGCCUCUUGCCAUCGGAUGUGCCCAGAUGGGAUUAGCUAGUAGGUGGGGUAACGGCUCACCUAGUCGACGAUCCCUAGCUGGUCUGAGAGGAUGACCAGCCACACUGGAACUGUGACACGGUCCAGACUCCUACGGGCGGCAGCAGGGGGGAAUAUUGCACAAUGGGAGCAAGCCUGAUGCAGCCAUGCCGCGUGUAUGAAGAAGGCCUUCGGGUUGUAAAGUACUUUCAGCGGGGAGGAAGGGAGUAAAGUUAAUACCUUUGCUCAUUGACGUUAGCCGGAGAAGAAGCACCGGCUAACUACGUG
rnacentral:rRNA from 1 species